rnacentral:rRNA from 1 species
UACGUAGGUGGCAAGCGUUGUCCGGAAUUAUUGGGCGUAAAGCGCGCGCAGGCGGUCCUUUAAGUCUGAUGUGAAAGCCCACGGCUCAACCGUGGAGGGUCAUUGGAAACUGGGGGACUUGAGUGCAGGAGAGAAGAGUGGAAUUCCACGUGUAGCGGUGAAAUGCGUAGAGAUGUGGAGGAACACCAGUGGCGAAGGCGACUCUUUGGCUUGUAACUGACGCUGAGGUGCGAAAGCGUGGGGAGCAAACAGG